rnacentral:misc_RNA from 1 species
AAGUCGUAACAAGGUUUCCGUAGGUGAACCUGCGGAAGGAUCAUUAUUGAAUACGUUGGUACUGAUGCUGGCUCUUUACUGAGCAUGUGCUCGUCCAUCUAUUUAUCUUCUCUCUGUGCACCUUUUGUAGUCUUUGAAGCAAGGUCUGGACGGUGGGCGAAAGCCCUCCGUCUGAUAGCCAUCGCAGCAAUGCGGUUUGGGGGUUCUUGGGCCGUUAAGUCGGCUCAUGUUCCUCUGGUAUGCUUCUUCAGAGACUAUGUUUUCAUAUACACUACAAAGUUACAGAAUGUCUUUUAACGAUUGUGCUAGUCGCAGUCAUUAAACCUAUACAACUUUCAGCAACGGAUCUCUUGGCUCUC